GAGCGGAGGAGGAAGGGGAGGAGGAGCGGCGAGCGGUAGCCACGACCGCCACCACCAGGCAGAGGAAGAGUUCGUGAGGAGGGAAAGACCCUCCUCCCACUUGGAGCGCGUGGUGUCAGCUUUUGGGAAAAGAGAAUACAAGAUAAAGGAGGAGACGGAAAGAAGAAGAAGGAAAAAAAAAGUGACGGGGGAAAGAGAGAAAAAAGGAGGUGAACAGAAAGGGCCAGAGCGUGCAGGGAGCCGGAGGCGCGGGGGCGGCAGUGCGGAGCCCGGAGCGCUGCCUCUUGGGCAGGUGCCGCGGCCACUGCCCGGAGGCGGCAUGUGACGCGCGGUCGCAGCUGCCCGCGGCCGGAGCGCUCUCGGACCCGGGAGCGCACACCGUGGAGCAACUCGGUGCCAUCCCGGAUCCCCACGCUCCUCGUCAGUUCGCCGGCGCGGCAGCACCGCUUCUGGAAAGACGGGCGAUGAGCCGAAGGGCGGCUCCGGGCAUGGGCGCACAGUCUUAGGACUCUCGUUCCCUGAACGCCGAGCAGGAGGCGACGAAGGGAAGGUGGACCGGGCGCCCCCCGCGCAUCGGGGAGGAGCGAACAACCUGCGUUGGGACGGCCACCUGGAGCGCAGCGGCCAGAUCUGAAUAGUGAUGGCACAUAUUUCGGUUACGAGUUGCUCAGUGCACCAUGGAUUGACUGAAGUGUAUCCAUUCCCAUCAUGAUGUACACCACUGAGGCUCUUCACUACACCUGUGUUCUGAUUAGAGGCCAAAGGACAUUCAGAACUUCCGCUAAGGUACUGUAAG